rnacentral:ncRNA from 1 species
GACCCGAAACUGAUCGAUCUAGCCAUGAGCAGGUUGAAGAGAGCUCUAACAUGCCUUGGAGGACCGAACCCACAUAUGUGGAAAAAUAAGGGGAUGACUUGUGUCCAGGGGUGAAAGGCCAACCAAGAAUCUUGCUUG